rnacentral:rRNA from 1 species
CCUACGGGGAGCAGCAGUGGGGAAUAUUGCACAAUGGGGGGAACCCUGAUCCAGCGACGCCGCGUGAGUGAAGAAGUAUUUCGGUAUGUAAAGCUCUAUCAGCAGGGAAGAAAGAAAUGACGGUACCUGACUAAGAAGCCCCGGCUAACGACGUGCCAGCAGCCGCGGUAAUACGUAGGGGGCAAGCGUUAUCCGGAUUUACUGGGUGUAAAGGGAGCGUAGACGGCGGUGCAAGUCUGGAGUGAAAGGCGGGGGCUCAACCCCCGGACUGCUUUGGAAACUGUAUGGCUGGAGUGCAGGAGAGGUAAGUGGAAUUCCUAGUGUAGCGGUGAAAUGCGUAGAUAUUAGGAGGAACACCAGUGGCGAAGGCGGCUUACUGGACUGUAACUGACGUUGAGGCUCGAAAGCGUGGGGAGCAAACAGGAUUAGAUACCCCAGUAGUC